GACGAACGCUGGCGGCGUGCUUAACACAUGCAGGUCGAGCGGUAAGGCCCUUUCGGGGGUACACGAGCGGCGAACGGGUGAGUAACACGUGGGUGACCUGCCCUCAGCUCUGGGAUAAGCCUGGGAAACUGGGUCUAAUACUGGAUAUGACUCCACGGUGCAUGUCGUGGGGUGGAAAGCCUUGUGCGGCUGAGGAUGGGCCCGCGGCCUAUCAGCUUGUUGGUGGGGUGAGGCCUACCAAGGCGACGACGGGUAGCCGGCCUGAGAGGGCGACCGGCCACACUGGGACUGAGACACGGCCCAGACUCCUACGGGAGGCAGCAGUGGGGAAUCUUGCGCAAUGGGACGAAAGCCUGACGCAGCGACGCCGCGUGA
rnacentral:rRNA from 1 species